AUCCAAGAGCUUCCUGGGAGCUCUUCAGAAGAUUUAUAGGGUGUUUAAUGCUGUGAAUCUUUACCUACAGUCAACCCAUAUAACUAUGCAAGUCCUAUAUGACAAAAUGCCAAUAGGUCUCCAGUGACUUCAUUGCAAUGGAAGCAGAACCUGAGGGCAUUCUGAGCCCCUGAACUCCUCAAAGCUUGGAGAAUUGGGACACACAAACACACACAGAGACAAACAAACAAACAAACAAACAAACACACUCGUCGAAGUAGUUAAUUACCAGGUUACAAGGAUCAGAAAGAAACUGUCUGGAAGAUAGAGAGAGCUGCAGCUUAUAGGACGCAGCAAUUGCGAAGGGAAGUCUUCCCCAUCAACUUACGUCCAUGCCAAGGAAAAGCAUCACUUGCUUGAGGGGUGGUGAACCUGUGACCCUGCAGACGUUGGCCAUGGUGACUAAUGCUGAUGGGAGUUUGGAGUCCAACAAUAUGUGGAGAGCAGCAUGUUGGCUACCCUUGCCUCAGACAGAGAUUGUGGGGCUGGAAACCAUUGCAGAACAGCCAGAACAUAAAUACAAGGAGCCUAGCAAAAUACAAGGCCAGGAAAAAGUGAUUUGGUUAUUUUACUUUUUGUUGUGAAAUUGGGUAGAAGUCUUUUCCUUACACUUCUAGAAGUGAAAAGAACCAGGAAUGACCUCUAAAAUGUUGGGAUAUUGGGGAGUUGGGAUGGGGGCUCUAGGCCUCUUUGGCAUGUGGAAAACUAUCCUGGCAGGGAAAACGCGUUUCCUGCUGUUUUUCUAAACUAAGGAAGUGUUGCCAGGAGAUGUUAUAUUGACGUCAACUGUUGCUUUGCUGAGAACAUGAUUUAUUUAUUUAUUUUUAGUACGGUAUAUAAAGUUAAAACAAAACUGAAAAUGAACAAAAGUAUCUGAAGAUUGAAAGGGGGUGAGAGCAGAACAUUAUGGCUGAGGUAAGAACCCCUUUGAAUAGGGGACAUUUUCUAUCAAUCCCCACCCAGUCCAAAAUACCUUCCCUUUGAUUGUUUUCCCUUUGACUGUUUUUUCAAAGUAAGAAUUGCCACUUGACUUGCUGUCUGUUAUACCCUGCUAUCUCUGGCUACAAGCCAAUGUGCAGUUAGGAGCAAAGUGUCAUUGAACACAGUGAGACUAACUUCUGUGUAAGAAUGCUUAGGAUAGUUUUGUCUCUAGCUCAGAGCUUUCCAAACUGUGUGUUGCGACACAUUCAUGUGUCGGCUGGAGUGUGUUGGUGUUUUCACGCAAAUGGUCCCUGCGCUCCUCCUGGGCUGGAAAAGGGUUGGUUUAACCUUCGGUUUGCUAGUCAAACUUAAUUACUGUGUCACAAAAUAUGGUCUGAGGCUCAACAUCAAAAAAAGAAGAUCUUGGCCGCUGGGCCCAUCACCUCCUGGCAAAUAGAAGGGGAAGAAAUAGAGGCAGUGAGAAAUUUUACUUUCUUGGGCUCCAUGAUCACUGCAGAUGGUGACAGCAGUCAUGAAAUUAAAAGACCCCUGAUCCUUGGGAGAAAGGCGAUGGCAAACCUAGACAGCAUCUUAAAAAGCAGAGACAUCACCUUGCCAACAAAGGUCCGUAUAGUUAAAGCUAUGGUUUUCCCAGUAGUGAUGUAUGGAAGUGAGAGCUGGACCAUAAAGAUGGCCGAUCGCCGAAGAAUUGAUGCUUUUGAAUUAUGGUGCUGGAGGAGACUCUUGAGAGUCCCAUGGACUGCAAGAAGAUCAAACGCAUCCAUUCUUAAGGAAAUUAGCCCUGAUGCUCACUGGAAGGACAGAUCGUGUAGCUGAGGCUCCAAUACUUUGGCCACCUCAUGAGAAGAGGAGACUCCCUGGAAAAGACCCUGAUGUUGGGAAAGAUGGAGGGCACAAGGAGAAGGGGACGACAGAGGACGAGGUGGUUGGACAGUGUUCUGGAAGCUACCAGCAUGGGUUUGACCAAACUGCAGGAGGCAGUGGAAGACAGGAGUGCCUGGCGUGCUCUGCUCCAUGGGGUCACGAAGAGUUGGACACAACUAAACGACUGAACAACAACAACAUAAAAAGUGUUUCACCAGCAUGAAAAGUUUGGAAAGCUCUGCUUUAGCUCCUUCUCCCUGCCUUUCAAGUCUGACUUAUAAAAACUGUGCUGAAUAAUCACAGGAUCCAAAGGUUGAAAAAUUCAACUACUUGUGGGGUGGGGGAAGAGAGCGAGGCUCCUGCAAGCCAGGGAUACUAAGUUUUGAUUUCUGGCAAAAAGAGAGCUUGGAAUGAAAUCCACGAUAAUAGCAGCAACUCAGUAAAGUGCUGGGCUCUGUACUGUUUAUAUGCUUGUAAUUGUAAGUUUUCUUGACUUAAAUGUUUUUAUUUAAGUUUGCUUGACUUUCAUUUUUAUACUUUAUUUUAUUGUGCAAUAGUUGAACUGAUUUUUGUUUCUGCCUUUGGUUCAUUAUAAAACCAAUAAACAUUUCGUCUUUUAAAAAAAGAGCUGGGAAGGGAAACAAACCUCAAGAGCAGGAAACAGCUAAGAAUAGGGGGAUUUCCUCAGUGAAAGGGGAUUUCCAUCUGGCCUUGCAGCAUCUACAGUGGUACCUCUGGUUACGUACUUAAUUCGUUCCGGAGGUCCGUUCUUAACCUGAAACCGCUCUUAACCUGAAGCACCACUUUAGCUAAUGGGGCCUCCUGCUGCCGCUGCGCCACCUGAGCACGAUUUCUGUUCUCAUCCUGAAGCAAAGUUCGUAACCCGAGGUACUAUUUCUGGGUUAACAGAGUCUGUAACCUGAAGCGUUUGUAACCCGAGGUACCACUGUAUUGGAUGGGGCAGGAGGUGAUGUGGUGCUUUUCUCAGGCUUAAAGAACAUGAGAAUAGCUUGCAUCCUGUUCUCAUAGUGCAGUGGUGGCAAACCUAUGGCACUCAGGCCUCUCUGUGGGCAUGUGAGCCAUUGCCCCAGCUGGUAGCUUCCGUGCUUCCCCAGCUGAACAGUCACGAUCCAGCUCCUGUUCCCGUGCAAGCAGCAGCGCUGCCUAGCGGAGCAGCCUGAUCCCACUCCUAGUUGCCCGCCAGCAGGAGCAGGUGGGGCGGGGACAUUCCUUGCCUGCUCGCUUGCCACUCAGGCCCAGCCUUCCCUCACUCAGCGCCGGGGCUGCCACAGCUGGAGAAGGAAGUGGUUGCUGUUAUAGCGGCAGUGGCUGGAACCAGCGCUGGAGGGUGGCAGGUGCCUGCUUGCUUGUCGCCCGCCCCCCUUCCCUCACUAGGAAAACGGAAGUGUGGCACUCAAAAUGGAAGUUAUACUCAGAACAGAGCACGUUCGGCUUCUGAAAAAGGUUCCAAAACCGGAACACUCAUUUCCAGGUUUGAAGUAUUCAGCUUCCAAGUAGUUCGAGAACUAAGCUGUUGGAAAACUGAGGUGCAACUGUAUUUAUUUUCCCCAAUUUGAACUGUAUUUAUUUUCCCCAAUUUGAACUGUAUUUAUUUCUCCCCCGGUGGUGAAUACAUACACACACACACACACAAAUACACACAUGGCCAGAGUUUCCACUUUGGGGGGAUUUUUUAAAGCUGGAUUCAGCAAAAAUCAGCCAGGACGUGUGGCAGCCCUAGAAUAAGAAAGAACUUAUAAAGAAGACUGGGAAAGAUUUGUAGAAUAUUUGAAAAAUCAUUAGAAACAUAUUAAAAUGUUAACAGGAUUAAAAGUGAAAAAGAGAGAAAAUGGAAAAUAUAGAAUAUGCAGUGGUAAAGGUUUAAUAAAAUGAACCGUGGACGGGGAGAAGGGAAGUCAGUGGAAAAUGUAUGGUUUGUAUUUUGGCUUAAUAUUAUUGUGCAAAUUUGUAAAAUUGAAAAUGAUAAAUACAAUAAAAAAGAUAACGAUGCCACAGAGUGAGGUCUGGGAUAAAUAUUUGCCAUAAGCUACAUAGGUGUGAGAAAUCUGUGGUCCUCCAGAUGUGGUUGGAUUCGAACUCUCAUCAACCCUAGCAACUAUGGCUAAUGUCCUGGGGUUAUAGGAGUUGUGGUCCAGCAACAUCCGGAAGACCACAAAUUCUCCAUCCCUGAGCUACAGUAUAAAAGAAAAGGGUGCCUCUGUGGCUGUGAUCCUAUGUAUUUGGGAGUGUGUUUCAUAGAACCUAGUGGGACUUACUUCUGAAUAAACUUGCACAGCUGUUUUACGACGCAAUACAUUGGCUCACUUACCUCUGGGAGAGACCAGAGCCUGGAGACCAGAUUGAGAUUUAUCGAUUGGGUUACCAGCACUGGGCUAUCUACGUAGGCGAGGGAUAUGUGGUUCACCUGACAUCUGCAGGUAAGAGCUUCUCAUUAUUUCCUAGAAAGGGUGGUUUUAUGAGAGGGAAGAAUAAGAUAGAGAUCAUUGGCAGAUUACCCCUGAAGAAACACAGCCCUUGGGGGGGGGAAGGUUCCCCACCACUGGCUUAGGGACUAAUUGUUGCUGGAAGUUCUAUGUCCUGAUACUUGCAAUUGUUGUAAGCCAGUUAGAGGACUGCUUUGUAGCCAAGAGAUUGCAAUCUGGUUGGUUGUAAGUUGUUUUGGGUUGCCUUGGGCAAGAUAAGAGUGACUAACAAUUUUUUUUAAAAAAUAGUAUUUGUCAAAACAACAACAACUGAUGACUUCUUGAAGACAAUGUUGUUGAUGAAAUGCAGGGAAUCCAGGCCUAAUGGUCACUGCUUCUGAGUUUCUUUUCUGUCUCUAUUCUUGAGAUGGGGGUACAGGAAGUAUUUUCUCUAUUCCCCUAUCUGCCGACACAACAACGGCAAUGGUGAAGAAAGAAAAGCUUUCAAAUGUGGCGGGGCUAAGCAGCUGGAAGGUCAACAACGAGAAGGACAGAAAAUAUAAUGCCAGGCCUGUAAGUGAAAUAAUUAGCAUUGCAAACCAAUGUGUUGGGAUGGAGAUCGACUACGAUGUGGAAACGAUGAACUGUGAACAUUUUGCUGCCAUACUACGAUAUGGCCAACCUGACAGUAGACAGGUGUGUAGAAUUUAUUCACGUUUUCCUAGUGGCAAUCUGUGCUGUGAUAUUGAAAUUCUUUCUAAACUCUUGCUCCUGGAGAAAUGAGGUGAGAUUAAGAAGCAGUUAAUUUACUUUAUUUUUAUGUAGAUUCAAUUUCUAACCCUGAUUUACAAAGAUGAGGAGCAGAACUGAACAUUUACUUGGAGUAUAUUGAAGGACUGCAAACCAGAACAGGAAAAAAAUAGAUAUCAUAACUUUAAAAAAUAACUUGAGUUCACACAUUCAUGUCUGAAGGGACAAAUGAAAAUAUUAAAAACUCAGAACUCAGGUUUCCAAAUUAAUGACAGACUUGUACCCUGAUGAAAAAUGUUGGAUCUGUAUUCUUUUAAUAUAGCCACAGAAUACAUAUUUUUGCACCAAAGCAUGUUCUUUUAUAAGGAAUUAAUUUCUAAAGCAUAUUUUAAACCCAGAGUUAAUUGCCUUGGAAUUUGAGAAUUUCAAAUCUGGCUAUUUUCUGUCUCCAAAAGAAACAUUUAAAGCAAAGUUUUACAUCAACUCAGUUGUGAGAAAUGAAGGACCAUCGGUCGCUGUGAAUAAAAAUGCUUAAACCUCUUAUUUUUUGCAGGCGGAAGUUGUUUCUGUUCUAAGCCGGAUACCAGACAUGUUCCGUUCGUAAACACCAUUAGUUGGUGUUAAAUAUAUGAUGAGACAUGUGAACAAUCUAAAAGACUGUUGGAGGACAAUCCUAGGUUGGCUUCUAACAAGAUCCCAUUAUAAAAGAACAAGAGUUAUUGAAUAAAAACAAAAACAUCAAAUCAAUCAAGAUUUAGGUUUUCUGUCUUCAUCUAUUGGUGUGAAUUUUGAAGGAUGGCUCUGUUUAAGUUUGUGCAUUAAGAAUUUGAAUGUGAAUUGAAUCAAAGUUCUCCCUGCUGCCUCUAGAUGUGGUAGAGGACACUGAUCAACGUUGAAGUAAGGUUCAGUUGCCAGUCUGGUCAACUUCUGUACUUGGAAUGGAUGCCGCCAUCUUGUUUCAGGCCGCCCUUGACACGUACAACGAUUCGCUGCAGGCCUCGGUUGUUAAAAAUCAAUACGUGUCUGUAUAAAGAAUCCCACAACAGUGUAGCUUGUGAAUUCAUUGGCAUUUGGGGUUUCAUAGCCCCCUUCAACGGAGGAGGGGAAAGAGUCUUCUUUACUUGUGCGUUUAGCUGAUAUCUCAGCCCUCAAUCCUUCUUUCUUCACCCCAACUUCCCAUUUUCAUCUGGUCACAGUUCAUUGCUACAGCACUCCUGAAGUAAAAUGCCUUGUGGCACGAGUCUGAAAUGUAAUCACAGACCUUUCCACUUUCAAUCUAAAGUUCUCCCUACAGAGUUAAUGCAAAAGCCCGCUUCAAAUGUUUCGGAGAAAAGUCAGGUGGCCCUUUUGCUGUUCUUACCCUCCUGACUGCCCAUUGUGAUGUUUAAAACUUGUGUGAUGGUUUAAAACUGCUCAGUGUACACUAGGUUCCAUUAACUCCGUUUCACGCAGAAGUAUUUAACCAUGAUCUUUUGACUAAUCACAUUUAGGCUUUACAAGUAAUUGAGGUGUUCAGAAUUGUUUCAUUUUUUAAAAAGCCCUGGUUAUUAACCAGUUAUACCUGGGGGAAAACUGAGACAAUAUUUUAGUUGUUACAGGGACACAUCAUUCAAAUUCUAUACACAUUUCACGGCAUAAGCUCCAUAUCAAAUUAAAAUGCCAAGAUGGCAUAUUGGGGGAGAAAAACAUGUUCAAGCGUUUUGUCACAAAGCUAAGUUAGGUGACUCGUAAAGUACCUCCCACAGUGACCAAGGCUUGACACAAACCACAUUUUACUGUGUUAACUUGGCAGAUGUAGGUCUGACAUGGAGAACCUAUUACAAGAACAUUCACAAGAGGAUUUUUGGGAACUGCUUGUUCUAAAAGAGGACAUUGAAUUCCAUUUCUUUAACCACUUUUAGACUCUUUUUUUUUUAAAAAAAGGCUGCCAUUUAGUUAAAUCAAUCAAUCAAUCAAUCAAUCAAUCAAUCAAUCAAUCAUAUUAUUAGUAUGAAUAGUAGUAGCAAACAUUUCAUAUCUAUCUAUCUAUCUAUCUAUCUAUCUAUCUAAUCUAUCUAUCUACAUCUAAUUUUAAUUAAAUUUUCUGUUUUACAGUUUUGAAUACUCAUUUAAACAUCCUUAAAAUAUCAGUGACCUCCCUUCUUCUCUUUCUGUGGUUCAUUUUGCAUACCAUAAAUCCCUGCUUAUUUUACAUAAACUAAACCAUUCAGUAUUCCAUUAUAACAUCAAUCAAAACUUAUUUACACUGUUAAACUUAUUUACACUGUUGCAUGCUGCCAACGUUUUCAGUUGUACACAAUUAUUUCCCAUAUAUCCAAUAAACUUUGUCCAAUCUUCUC